rnacentral:rRNA from 1 species
GGAUUGACACAUCGGUCGUGCCUUAAGGGGUAUGAACUGGUGUAGUCAAUUUCUCACCUUCUGGAGAACCGCGAUGCCCUUAAUUGGGUGUCGCGGGGAACCAGGACCUUUACUUUGAAAAAAUUAGAGUGUUCAAAGCAGGCCUACGCCCGAAUACAUUAGCAUGGAAUAAUAAAAUAGGACGCGCGUUCCCAUUUUGUUGGUUUCUGAGAUCGCCGUA